AUCACCUGCGGCCUUGAUCUUGUUAACGUGGAGGGCAUGUGGGUGUGGGGCAUGCGUACCUGAUUAUGGACACCCAAGCAUGGUGUGUGCGCAUGUGCAAGUGUGCACACCUGAGCCUAGGGGUCAGGGAUGUAAGGGCGGCAUCACUCAAAACAGCUAUGGCGGAAGGGCUAUGAGAGGACAAGCUGUAAUCACAAGAGGACAAGACCACAAGAGAACACCAGAGAGAGCCAGAGAAGAGAACCCAUGGUGAACCUACCUGGCCUGGGAUGGUUGCAAAACACUGGUGAACACCCAGAAAAAAAGGGCCUAUUGGAUCAAAGCCUCUGAGUUUGAUGCAAGUUCAGAAUAAUUUCCUUCAAGGAUUAACUCAUCUUUCUGGGCUUGGGGAGCUACACAAGCAACAUCUGCUACAGCCUGCUGAAGGAUUCUUCACCCAAGGAGUUUCAAAUUUCAACAUGUUUCAUUAGCCAUGCGUGAUAAUGUGUUACUGCAAAAAGUGCUUGGGAGCAAGAGCACAAGGCACAUGCACCUUUGAUUGUGAACACCAGGCCAAGAAGCAAGAAAGCACUGGACAUGAGUACCUGAUAUUGCUGCAUCUGGUCCAAAGCAACCGACAUUGGAGUAUUUGCAGGAUCAACUGGAUCACAGUUGACUAUGGCCAUUUAGUCUAGACCACACUGAGACCUGGUUAAUUGAGUGGGAAGACUCAAUCCCCUCGCCUGACUUGAGCCAGAGGCCUGGGCUCCACAGGCUCUACCUUAUGUAUAACGAGCCACAUGACCCAAUUACUAAUCUCAAUUCAUGCUUGCCAACACCUCAGCUUUCUCCCUCCCUCCCACAGCAUGUCAACAACCAGCCUUAGAAUGAACGAGACCAAGAGCGAACCCUAAUGGACACUAAGGGAGUGGGUGAUGACAAAGGCCAAUGGAGACUCACUGAUGACACACUUGAUUAGAAAUCAGAACAACAAGCGUCCCAGACUGGAAUCUGACCUCUUGGGAGCCACUGAACAUCUCUUUGCCUUGGUUUCCCCAUCUCGGUGAAAAAUAACUGUCUAAUCAACCUCAGAGGCCAAGUAAGACAUAAGAACCUUGAAAAAGUAUAAACACAAUUUUGAAGUAAA